GGCUCCUCGCCGGGUUGAUGCCGGUGCCGGUGAUGGGGAUGGUGGCCAGGUGGACCAGGAACACGGCGAACCCGAUGGGCAGCGGGGCGAGGAUCUGCCGUCGUUCCACGGGCAAUAAGUAGCCAUGCAUUAAUAACCAAGCACAGCACGGCAGUAAUUAAGGAAAUUCAACAGGGGAAGAAGAGAAGGGCAGUAAUGGUAUUGGUAGGUACUCACGGGAACGUGGGAGUCCCUGGCGUUCCUCUUGGCGUCGGUGGCGGAGAAGACGGUGUAGACGAGGACGAAGGUGCCGAUGAUCUCGGCGCCGAGCCCGGAGCCCUUGGUGUAGCCGGACGCCACCACGUUGGCGCCGCCGCCGUUGCCCAUGUACAGGCCCUGCUGGAACCCCUUGACCACGCCGGCGCCGCAGAUGGCGCCCAGGCACUGCAUGAUGAUGUAGAACACCGCCCUCGUCAGCGACAGCUUCCUCGCCAGGAACAGCCCGAAGGUCACCGCCGGGUUGAUGUGCCCGCCUGCAUCCCAAUCCCAUCCAUCCAUCCAUCCGUUAGCAGUCAGCAAAAACGGAAGAAGAAAAACACAGGAAAAGGCUACAGGAAUCAAGAAAAAACAGUACCAGAGAUGCCGGCGGUGCAGUAGACGAGGGCGAAGAUCAUGCCGCCGAAGGACCAGGCGAUGCCCUGGAUGCCGACGGUGGCGCACUUGGAGGCGGCGCCGCUGUAGCCCAUGACGGUGAGGAUGGUGACGUAGAGGAAGAGGAAGGUGGCCAUGAACUCGGCGAUGCCGGCGCGGUAGAAGGACCACGACUUGAGCUCGCCGGGCUCGAACAGCGGCGCCGGCGGGGGCUCCUUGUAGUCCUUGUCCUCGGACCCCUGCGCCGCCGUGCCGAUGGGCUGCCGCUCCGAGUACUUGUUCGCCCCGAGGCGCACGUCCUCCUCCUUGCCCUCCAUCGCUGCUGCCCUCGCCGGAGGCCGGUGGUCGCUGUCUCGCCUGAGCUGGAACGGAACGAGAUGGGCGGCUUUGGUGUGAGCGUGUGGUGAGGGUAGCACUGGGAGUGAAGAGUCUUAUAGGGGCAAGCGGCGGUUCUGGAAGGAAGGGGUGGAGGACGGCGGGUGACGAGGACGGCGGGUGGUGGCCCGGCGUGACAGCGGGGAGGAGCGGGCUGGCUUGCUGUUUAGCCUGUUUGUUUGUUGCCUAGCUUGCCGCUGCUGCAGCGCCCUUGUUUGCUUGCUUAUCCGCUUGUGUUUAACGUUUGAACAAAUAAAUAUUCCUUUUAAAGCUAAAAACACGAAUGAUUAUUUUUCCAAGCUCGGAGAAUCGGUGCAACUGCUGCGUGAUCAAUCAGUGCCCUGCAAAUUGUAAUUGCUAUUUUGUCAACUAUCUGAGAACAUCAAUUCGGCAUCAGGUAGCCAAAUGCUUCUCAUGUCCACCAUUUUGCAAGACCUUAGAGCACCUCCAACAAGACGACACGCACUAAAAUAACAUUUACAAUGUUGAAAUAACAAUUUUUUUAGGCACAGCAGAACACUGGUUCCAACGGUCACUCCAAAAUAUUACGGGGUUGUUUGGUUCCCAGCCUAAGGUUGUCAUGCCUAACCUUAAUCAUGUCAUAAUACUUUAGGCAUGUGUUUGGUUCAUUACCACACUUAUGGCUUGCCACAUUUUUAUAGAUAUAUGGUCCAUAUGUCAUAGACUCAUUUUUUACCAAAUCUUGCCACACUUGUGGUGUCCAUUUUGUUAGCCACACUUUUUGUGGCAGCCACACUUUGCCUAAGGUUAGUUGUGGUAAAGUUAGUCAUGAACCAAACAGGCCCUACACGCGUGAGCCGUUACUGCAUAGUCGAGUACAAACAACAUUUGACACUCAAACAACAUCAAAAAGAUCAAACACAUAAAAAAUAAAUCAGCAAUAAAUAAUUCAAUUUUAUUUAUAACUCAAACAAAUAGUUUAUUUUCCAAUACAACAAAUAGUUCAACAAUACAACAUUAAACAUACAAAUCACUAGUUUUGUCGGCCAUCCAUGCCCACCACUCCUUCUUUAGAUCUUUCUCAAAAUUAUGAUGCGUUUCGACGCGUCAAAUGAUAUGAUAGGAGGCAACAAAUCAGGCCAUCCUUUCAGCCCUCCGUCGUACUCGCACUAGACGUCCCAAGAGGUCACAUUUGGAGUUGUCUAAAUCUUGCCGACGUUCAUUCUCGAUGAUCAUGUUAUGCAUGAUCACACAAGCGUUCAUGAUGUACCAAAGGAUCUUUUGAUCCCAAAAUCUAGCCGGUCCACUCACGAUAGCAAAUUCGGCUUGCAAAAUCCCAAAAGCUCUCUCCACAUCUUUCCUAAAUGCCGCUUGAGCAUCGUGGAAAUGAAGAUUUUACUUACCUUUCGAUUUUUUCAACGGCGUAACAAAUGUUUGCCACUUUGGAUAGAUGUCAUCCGCAAGAUAGUAGCCAUAGUUGCAUGUAUGGCAAUUUGCUACAAACUGCACACGUGGUUGUUCAUCAUUUGCAAUCCUAUUCAUGAGUGGUGACCGAUUAAGAACGUGAUGUCAUUCAAAGAUCCAUGCAUUUCAAAAAAAGCAUGUCAAAUCCAAGUCUCUUGAUCGGCCACUCCUUCAAGGAUUAUAGUGGAACCCUUUUUUUGGUCGUGAAAUUGUCCGUACCAUGCCUUAUGACAAUUCUUCCAACUCCAAUGCAUGCAAUCUAUUGAGCCAAGCAUACCUGGAAACCCGCGAGCUUUGUUCAUAUCCAAAAGCCUUGCGGCGUCUUCAACAUUGGGAGCUCUGAAAUACUCCAGACCAAACACUUGCACAAUUCCAACUGCAAAGCGCUUGACACAUAUGAUGGCUUGAUUCUCACCCAUGGCCAAACGGUCAUCAACUAGAUUAGCAGGAAUAACAUAUGCCAACAUACGCAAAGCGGUUGUCACCUUUUGAAAGGUGCUAUGCCCGAGUUCUCCAGGGGCAUUCCUCCUUCGUUGAAAAAACAGAUCAUGGCUUGCUAGUUUAUCUGCGAUGCGUUUGAACAACUCGGUGCACAUCCUAAAACGACACCGAAAGUAGGAGUCAGGGUAUACAGGAUUAUCCACAAAAUAGUGCCUCAUCAAUCUGUUGUUGGCAUUGAUCUUAUCCCUCCAAAUUUUCUGACGACCCAUAACCGAACCAACGUGCUUCGACUUUCUAUUGACGUGCAUAGCUAUGAUCAUUGCAAGGUCCUCCUCCACCUGAUAAUCAAAUUAUUCGCCGAAAGAAUCAUAUGAAGAACCCAUCUACAAUAUUGAUUUUAAACUAGUCUAUAAAACUACAAACAACAUGCACCAAAUUCUUCUACAAAAUAUGAAGUUGAAGCAAUACAUACCUUGCAAGCGUUUUGUCAAACACCUUGUGGAGCGACAGUGGGCGACCGAGUGCUGUUCGUCGAAGGAAUGGCGCGCUUGAGGGGCGGCGACGAUGAGAGGAGGUGGAGGAAGGAGCGGCGGCGCGCGGUGAUAGGUCAGGGAAGCUGUUGGAAAUAUGCCCUAGAGGCAAUGAUAAAUAGUUAUAUUAUAUUUCUUGUUUAAAGAUAAUUGUUUAUUAUCCAUGCUAUAAUUGUAUUGAGUGAAAACAUAGAUACAUGUGUGGAUAUAUAGACAAAACAAUGUCCCUAGCAAGCCUCUAGUUGCCUGGCUAGUUAAUCAAAGAUAGUCAAGGUUUUCUGACUAUGAGCAAAGUGUUGUUGCUUGAUAACUGCAUCACAUCAUUAGGAGAAUCAUGUGAUGGACUAGACCCAAACUAUGAACGUAGCAUAUUGAUCGUGUCAUUUUAUUGCUAUUGUUUUUUGCGUGUCAAGUAUUUGUUCCUAUGAGAAUGAGAUCAUAUAACUCACUGGCACCGGAGGAAUACCUUGCGUGCAUCAAACGUCACAACGUAAUUGAGUGACUAUAAAGGUGUUCUACAGGUAUCUCCGAAGGUGUCCUUUGAGUUAGUAUGGAUCAAGACUGGGAUUUGUCACUCCGUGUGACGGAGAGGUAUCUCGGGGCCCACUCGGUAAUACAACAUCACACACAAGCCUUGCAAGCAAUGUGGCUAAGUGUAAGUCACGGGAUCUUGUAUUACGGAACGAGCAAAGAGACUUGCCGGUAACGAGAUUGAAGUAGGUUUGCGGAUACCGACGAUCAAAUCUCGGGCAAGUAACAUACCCAAUGACAAAGGGAAUGACAUACACGAUUAUAUGAAUCAUCCAGGUCCCGCUAUUGGAUAUUGACCGAUGAGUUACUCGGGGCAUGUCUACAUAGUUCUCGAACCCGUAGGGUCUGCACACUUAAGGUUCUAUGAUGUUUUAGUAUAGUUGAGUUAUAUGUGUGGUUACCUAAUGUUGUUCGGAAUCCCGGAUGAGAUCACGGACGUCACGAGGGUUUCCGGAAUGGUCGGGAAACAAAGAUUGAUAUAUAGGAUGACUUCAUUUGGUUACCGGAAGGUUUUCGGGCAUUAUCGGGAUUGUACCGAGAGUGACGAAUGGGUUCCGGAUGUUCACCGGGAGGGGGCAACCCAUCCGGGGAAGCCCAAAGGCCCUAGGGGUGGCGCACCAGCCCUUAGUGGGCUGGUGGGACAACCCAAGAGGGCCUAUGCGCCAAGGAAAGAAAAAAACCAAAAAGAAAAAAAAAGAAAGGUGGGAAGGAAGAGAAGGACUCCACUUUCCAAUCCUAUUUGGACUAGGAUUGGAGUAUGACUCCUCCUCCUCCCUAGCCGGCGCACCCUUGAGGGCUUGGCCCUAAAGGCAAGCCUCCCCCCUCCCUCCUAUAUAUAGUGGUGAUUUAGGGCUGAUUUGAGACAAAUUUUGCCACGUGCAACUUAGAUCUAGACACCAUAGUUUUACCUCUAGAUCGUAUUUCUGCGGAGCUCGGGCGGAGCCCUGCAGGAGUAGAUCCUUCACCACCACCGGAGCGCCGUCACGCUGCCGGAGAACUCGUCUACUUCUCCGUCUUGCUUGCUGGAUCAAUAAGGCCAAGAUCAUCGUCGAGCUGUACGUGUGCUGAACGCGGAGGUGUCGUCCGUUCGGCACUAGAUCGGCACGGAUCGUGGGACGGAUCGCGGGAUGGUCCGUGGGACGGUUCGCGGGGCGGAUCGAGGGACGUGAGGAUGUUCCACUACACCAAUCGCGUUUCUUAACGCUUCCUGCUUUGCGAUCUACAAGGGUACGUAGAUCCAAAUCUCCUCUCGUAGAUGGACAUCACCAUGAUAGGUCUUCGUGUGCGUAGGAAAUUUUUUGUUUCCCAUGCAACGUUCCCCAACAGAAGCGUCGUCGGGGCGCAGGGGUAAAUGGGGAGGUGCGGUCGACGACGCUAGCGGAUGGAUCCGGCGUUUGGUGGAAGUCGCGCGCGAGUCAUCGUUGUCAAGCGUGCGGGGUCGGGCGCACAAAAUAAGCGACGCGCGAUGUCGUUUUGCUCCAUGCGCUGAACCAACUAUAGAUCCAUAGGACAUCAGCAAAAUAAAACAUACAACUCAAACCAAUCAAGAUCAUCAAUCAACCCAAAGGACAAACAAAAUCUACUCAAACGUCAUAGGGUGGCAAAACAUCAUUGGAUAAUAAUAUGUGGCAUAAAGCAACAUGUUGAAGUAUGGGAUUACAACGGUAUGGAGGAGAGUGGACUAUUGGAAAUAGGACCUUGAGGCAAUAAUAAAUUACUUAUUACUAUAUUUCCUUGUUCAUGAUAUUCGUUUUUAUCCAUGCUAGAAUUGUAUUGCUUGGAAACUCAAAUACAUGUGUGGAUACAUGGACAACACACUGUCCCUACUGAGCCUCUAAAGGACUUGCUCGUUCAUCAAAGAUGGUCAAGGUUUCCUGACCAUAGACAUAUGUGCUCAUUUGAUAACGGGAUCACGUCAUUAGGAGAAUGAUGUGAUGGACAAGACCCAAACUAUAAACGUAGCAUAUGAUUGUGUCAGUUUAUUGUUACUGUUUUCUGCAUGUCAAGUAUGUGUUCCUACGACCAUGAUAUCACGCAACUCCCGGACAUCGGAGGAAUGCCUUGUGUGUAUCAAACGUCACAACAUAACUGGGUGACUAUAAAGGUGCUCUAGAGGUAUCUCCAAGGGUGUCCGUUGGGUUGGCAUGAAUCGAGAUUGGGAUUUGUCAUUCCGUAUGACGAAGAGGUAUCUCUAGGGCCCACUCGAUAAUACAACAUCACAAUGAGCUUGCAAGAAAUGUGACUAAGGAGUUAGUCAUGGGAUCUUGUAUUAUGGAACGAGUAAAGCGACUUGUCGGUGAUGAGAUUAAACCACGUAUGGAGAUACCAAUGAUCAAAUCUCGGGCAAGUAACAUACCGAUGGACAAAGGGAACAUUAUACAAGAUUGAUUGAAUCCUUGACAUCGUGGUUCGACUGAUAAAGAUCUUCGUAGAAUAUGUAGGAGCUAAUAUGGGCAUCCAGGUCCCGCUAUUGAUUAUUGACCGGAGAGUGUCUCACGUCAUGUCUGCAUAGUUCUCGAACCCGCACGGUCUGCACACUUAAGGUCAGUGACGAUUUGGUAUUGUUGAGUUAUGAAUGAUGGUGACCGAAGGUUAUUCGGAGUCCUGGAUGAGAUCCCAGACGUCUCGAGGAGCUCCGGAAUGGUCCAGAGGUAGAGAUUUAUAUAUGGGAAGUCAUAUUUUGGUUACCGGAAAAGGUUCGGGUUUUUUCGAUAUUGUACCGGGAAGGUUCUAGAAGGUUCCGGAAACUUAUGGAGGAGUCCAGAAGUCCACCGAGGGUUCUAACACGUCCCAAGGGUUUGCAUGGGCUGAGAGGAGACAUCAUGGCCUUAUUGGGCCAAGCACACAAGUCCCUCAAGGCCCAUGCAGUUGGGAAAGGUGGAAAGUCCAUCUUUACAUGGAAGGGAAGGAGGGGGACUAGGAUUCCACCCUCCUUGGCUACACCUUAGGGCUUGGAGGGGCUGUUCCCCACGCACUCCACCUAUAUAUAGAGGGGAGGGGCACCCCAAAAGUACACAUGAAUCCCUUGGUGCCCCUCUCUCUCCCUAGAUCGUCUUCUCCCCCGUUCGCGGUUUCGAUAACGCUAGGCGUAGCCCUGCGGGGACAGCUACACCACCACCACCGUCACGCCGUUGCGCUGCCAGAGAAAUCAUCUACCUCUUUAUCCUCGCUUGCUGGAACAAGGAGGUGGAGAACGUCAUCGAGUUGUAUGUGUGCUGAACGCGGAGGUGUCGUCCAGCCGACACUAGAUGAUAACGGAUCGUGAUGGGUGAUACGUCUCCGUCGUAUCUACUUUUCCGAACUCUUUUGCCCUUGUUUUGGACUCUAUUUUGCAUGAUUUGAAUGGAACUAACCGGACUGACGCUGUUUUCAGCAGAAUUGCCAUGGUGUUGUUUUUAUGCAGAAAUAAAAGUUCUCGGAAUGUCCUGAAAAUUUACGGAGAUUUUUCUGGAAUAAAAGAAAAAUACCUGCGCAAAGAUCCACCAGAGGGGGCGUGCCAGUGGGCCACAAGCCCACAUGCCGCGGCCACCCCCCUAGGCCGCGCCGUGAGGGCUUGUGGGGCCCACGUGGCACCACCGCCCCCAAACUCAGCUCUAUAUCUUCCAUCUCGCCCGGAAAAAAAUCAGAGAGAUGGUUUCAUCGCGUUUUGCGAUACGGAGGCGCAGCCACAUCCUGUUCUUCAUCUGGAGGGCAGAUCUGGAGUCCGUUUCGGGCUCUAGAGAGGGGAAAUCGUCGCCAUCGUCAUCAUCAACCUUUCUCCAUCGACAAUUCCAUGAUGCUCUUCAUCGUUCGUGAGUAAUCUCAUCGUAGGCUUGCUGGACGGUGAUGAGUUGGAUGAGAUCUAUCAUGUAAUCGAGUUAGUUCUUGACGGGGAUUGAUCCCUAGUAUCCACUAUGUUCUAGAUUNNNNNNNNNNNNNNNNNNNNNNNNNNNNNNNNNNNNNNNNNNNNNNNNNNNNNNNNNNNNNNNNNNNNNNNNNNNNNNNNNNNNNNNNNNNNNNNNNNNNUAAUCUAAGGCAUACGGGCUAUCCGGACACGCACGAAAAUUAAACACGGGCAAUAUACUAUUGGGACAGCAUGUAAAUCUAGGCAUACGACACGUCAAACAACGUCAAAUAAAUAUGCAAGUAGUGAAAUCGUGUUCUACUCAAAAAGUUACACGAGAUACAUAUCUAAAUCUUCGCGAUCCGACUUACGGGUAAAAAGUUACAGGUAUUUUAAAAUCGUCUACAUUCUAGAAUUUAAUAAUUCCGAAAAAAUUCCUAUUAACUAGCGGGCCUAACAGGGCAUGGGCGGACGGUAGUAAAAUGUGCACAAAGCGCUGGGUAGUAUGGGGCGCUCACCUCGGGCCUAACAGGACGGCUGGGGGAAUGCAGAGCUGGGCUUGGGGAGGUGCAGCGCUGGUUGGGCCGGGAGGAGCUGCUGGCCAGCUGGGCCGGCUCGGGGCCCGGGUCGAGGAGGCAGCGCUCCUCCCCGUUGCUCACUCGUUCCCGAGCUCGCCAGGACGGCGGCGCGCAGGCUCACCUGCCAGCAGGAGGAGGGGCAGGGGCGAGGCACCGGCGAGGAAAGGCGCGGAGGGGAACCGGGAGUCGUCGGCGCCGGCGAAAACAAAGCGGGACCAACCGGAUCUACCCGGAUCCGGGCCGGGGCAGCGACGGUAGACGAGGUGACCGGCGGCGAGCUCGGGCCAAGCCCUCUGAGCGGCGACGACCAUGCCAUGGGGCGGGCUGUGCGGAUCGGUGGCCUUCCGACGUGGUGCCGGGCGGCGUUGCCGGCGGCUGCACGGGCUGCAGCCUGGAGGAAGCGGUGCGCCAUGUGUGCGGGUAGCCGGGCUGCUCCUCCUGACCGAGGAGGAGGACGGGACGAGCCGGGANNNNNNNNNNNNNNNNNNNNNNNNNNNNNNNNNNNNNNNNNNNNNNNNNNNNNNNNNNNNNNNNNNNNNNNNNNNNNNNNNNNNNNNNNNNNNNNNNNNNCAGACAAAGAGUAAAUCAGGAUGAUCAACACACAAAGCAUAUAAGAUGUACCGAGAGGGAUCAAGUGAUCCCAUGGUAUGGUAAGAAUUGUCCAUUACGUGUUUGUGUACUAACCCAUGGUCUUUGUGAGAGUCCUAUGUGGGGGUUAAGUGUGCUUCCAUGGGCUUGCGUCAAAAGGAAGAUCUCAUACAACCCACGAAGGAUGACGUCAAGUGGUGAUGGUCAUCAAUAUUGUGGUGUGCAAGUUCAAGUGGAUCAACAUGAAUAUAUCAUUGAAACUGUUGUUAAUGAUCAUGUGUUGAUAAGGACAAGCUCAUGUGCUAACAAGGACAAGAUCGAGAUAAGCAUUCCUGAGCACUACAUGCUUGAUUCUUGUGGAUGUUCACAUGGUGGACAAAUGAAGAUGAAUAUAUAAGCUAGGCUUUCCGUAUUGUGUAUGGGAGAGCUACUUGAAGACUUCAUCAUGUCUUGCUUUCAACAUUGAGCCAAGAAAGAACAAGAACAUCAAGCUCAAGUGAAAGGGCUAGCUCAAAGGUAUCAGUCCCUUUGAUGUUAGUGGUGUGGAGUGAUGAUCAGCGAAUAAAAGUAUACACUCAAGUAUGGAUCAUCGGUACCCUUUUACAAUUCUUGAGUCUUUAGGGAUCCCGCACUAUUAAGAGGGGAUCACAGGUUUUGUGAUGAACUUGCUCAAACUAGAUAUGCACUGUUCUGCUCAUACCACAUCUCCACUGCUCUGCUGUUAUCAGAAAACAGAACCAGUGCCUUGGACAUCCGGCUUCCUCCGGACGUCCGAGGGCCGGACGAACGACUUCUUCGGAAAUCCGGAAUCCUAUACCAGAGAAAUCAGAGCCAUAUAACUNNNNNNNNNNCGUUGGAAAUAUUCCCUAGAGGCAAUAAAAAAACUGUUAUUAUCAUAUUUCCUUGUUCAUGAUAAUCGUCUAUUGUUCAUGCUAUAAUUGUAUUAACAGGAAACAGUAAUACAUGUGUGAAUAAAUAGAUCACAAUGUAUCCCUAGCAAGCCUGUAGUUGGCUAGCUCGUUAGUCAAUAGAUGAUCAUGGUUUCCUGAUCAUGGGCAUUAGAUGUCAUUGAUAACGGGAUCACAUCAUUGGGAGAAUGAUGUGAUGGACAAGACCCAAUCCUAAGCCUAGCACUAGAUCGUAUUGUUCGUAUGCUAAUGCUUUUCUAAUGUCAAGUAUCUUUUCCUUCGACCGUGAGAUUGUGCAACUCCCGGAUACCGUNNNNNNNNNNNNNNNNNNNNNNNNNNNNNNNNNNNNNNNNNNNNNNNNNNNNNNNNNNNNNNNNNNNNNNNNNNNNNNNNNNNNNNNNNNNNNNNNNNNNUAGGGAAAAGAACUUGCAUGACAUCUAUUGUCCAUCCCUCCCGUGGCAGCGGGGUCCUAAUGGAAACUACGGGAUAUUAAGGUUCUCCUUUUAAUAAAGAACCGGACCAACGCAUUAACAUUUGGUGAAUACAUGAACUCCUCAUACUAUGGUCAUCUCCGGGAGUGGUUCCGGCUAUUGUCACUCCGGGGUUGCCGGGUCAUAACACAUAGUAGGUGACUACAACUUGCAAGAUAGGAUCUAAAACACACAUAUAUUGGCGACAACAUAAUAGGUUCAGAUCUCAAAUCAUGGCACUCGGGCCCUCGUGACAAGCAUUAAGCAUGGCAAAGUAGUAGCAACAUCAAUCUAGAACAUAGUGGAUACUAGGGAUCAAUCCCCGUCAAGAACUAAUCCGAUUACAUGAUAGAUCUCAUCCAACUCAUAAGAAGAUAGGCUCAUAAGAAGAUAGCUUCAACGCUCCGGGUCGAAAAGAGAGGAAUAAAUAACAAGAUAGGCUCAUAAGAAUUCCCAACAUAGGAAAGAAUUACAAGGAUGAAUGGACAAGAUGACACGGACAACUAAAUUGAAUUCACCGGUAAGGAUGACAAGAAUGAAUAAAUAUGACACGAAUGUCCUAAGAAUCUUCACAACGAAUCACCGGGUAAGAGAGAAAAGAACAGAGAGCGGAAGCACCAAGAAGAGGAAACUCUUGGAUGAAAAUCCAAUCACUGAAGAAAAGGGUGGGAGGGCGGGUAAAACAAAAGACAACUUGGGCUAGAUGAGAUGAACUCCGGAAUAAAAUGAGAGAAAGAUCUUGCAAAUAUUAGAGAGGAUUGAAUCCACUUGGAGAGAAACACACCGGUCGAAAAAGAACUGACAUGACGACUCCGGUUGACAAGAAUUGACAUGACAAUUGAACGAACAAAAGAAUUUGCAUUCUCACAUAAAAAUAUGAGAACACCACUUAGGAAAGAUCUGAAAUCACCACUUGACAUCGAAGCAACUUGAAUUACCAUAUUAAAACAAAACAAAGGGUGAGGCUUAUGAAACAAGCCAGAACAAACUCAUGAGAGAGAUUUCGUCCGAUAUUUUCAUGGACAGGAUCGCACGGGCUCUAUCCUUACAGUAGCCAUCAAGUGCAAGGCAGUGCACCUGACAUACGAAGCGUCCCCGAGUCGUAGCAAGCUACAAGGACU
rnacentral:lncRNA from 1 species